CGCCACGAAAAAGGUUUUGUUUCUUGCGGGGAAGCCGAGCCAUGGCUACGGCGAACACGAGCACUACGCCGGCUGUGUCGUGCUUGCCAAGAACCUCGAAGCAUCGAUGAAGGAUUUCGACACCGAGGUCGCCCGCUACGAUUGGCCCGCCGAUGAAUCUGCGUUCAAGGACGUCGCGGCGAUUGUCAUGUAUUGUGAUGGAGGAGAUGGGCAUCCCGUCAUGCAACACUUGGCUCAAAUCGACGCGCUUGCCGAUAAAGGCGUCGGCAUCGUUUGCAUUCACUACGGAGUUGAAAUUCCAAAAGGGGAGCCGGGGGAUGAUUUUCUCAAAUGGAUCGGGGGUAUUUCGAGGCCAAUUGGUCGGUGAAUCCGCAUUGGAACGCAGAAUUCAAGACUUUACCGGAUAAUCCAAUUUGCCGCGGCGUUAAACCUUUCACCGCACAGGACGAAUGGUAUUACCACAUGCGAUUUCGCCCUGACAUGAAAGGAGUCACUCCGAUCCUGACUGCGAUUCCGCCUGCAAGCACACUGGAACGUCCCGACGGAACGCACAGCGGCAACCCAUUUGUUCGUGCAGAAGCCGGCAAGCCGCAGCAUGUUGCUUGGGCUGCAGAGCGGGAAAUGGGAGGACGCGGCUUUGGAUUCACCGGCGGCCAUUUUCAUUGGAACUGGGGAAACCCAGAUUUUCCGCCGCAUUGUGCUCAAUGCAAUCGUAUGGGCCGCUCACGGAGAGGUUCCCGAAAAAGGGGUCGACCACGUCGAGCCGAUUUCGGUCAAGGACUUGCAGCAGAACGUGGACGAAGCAGUUCCUGAUGGGUUCAACGUCGAAAACAUCCAAGCGACCUUCGGCGCAAGUUCGGGCAAAUAGUCUUGCGGU
rnacentral:misc_RNA from 1 species